rnacentral:RNase_P_RNA from 1 species
GAAGCACGCCAGACCGCCGCUGGUGCAAGCUGGGAAACCAGGCACUGGAGGAACGUCCGGACUGCACAGGGCAGCGUAGCAGCUAACGGCUGUCCACCGCGAGGUGAGGAUCAGAGCAACAGAGACGAGUUCGAGCGUAGAGGCGCCCACCAGGGGUGUUCUGCGGUUCGCCAGCGCAAGCUGGCGCGGCUGGCGCAAGCCAGACGGUGACGGGCGGUCAGCCCGGCACGACGCAGUCACCUCGGGCGCUUCGCGCCCGAGGUGAAACGGGCAAUCUCUACGCGCAGCAACACCAAGUAGGCACACGUUGACGGGGCCCCCGGAGUGUGCGGGUAGGUGGCAUCGAGCCGAGGUGGCGACACCCGGCCCAGAGUAAUGGCGGUCACGCCGCGGGCAACCGCGGUGCACAGAAUCCGGCUUAUCGGCGUGCUUCACAC